rnacentral:rRNA from 1 species
ACCGAAUAGAUACCCCGGUAGUCCACGCCGUAAACUAUGAACGCUAGCCCGUUGGCGAGCUUGCUCGUCAGUGGCGCAGCUAACGCAUUAAGCGUUCCGCCUGGGGAGUACGGCCGCAAGGUUGAAACUCAAAGAAAUUGACGGGGGCCCGCACAAGCGGUGGAGCAUGUGGUUUAAUUCGACGCAACGCGCAGAACCUUACCAGGGUUUGACAUCCCGAGACCGCUGCUGAAAGGCAGUUUCCCGCAAGGGCUCGGAGACAGGUGCUGCAUGGCUGUCGUCAGCUCGUGUCGUGAGAUGUUGGGUUAAGUCCCGCAACGAGCGCAACCCUCGCCUUUAGUUGCCAUCAUUAAGUUGGGCACUCUAGAGGGACCGCCGGCGACAAGCCGGAGGAAGGU